rnacentral:rRNA from 1 species
UAGCCGUGAACGAUACUCGCUAGGUGUCGGCCACGGUGCGACCGUUGUCGGUGCCGUAGGGAAGCCGUGAAGCGAGCCACCUGGGAAGUACGGCCGCAAGGCUGAAACUUAAAGGAAUUGGCGGGGGGAGCACCACAACGGGUGGAGCCUGCGGUUUAAUUGGAUUCAACGCCGGACAUCUCACCAGGGCGACAGCAGAAUGAUGGCCAGGUUGAUGACCUUGCUUGACAAGCUGAGAGGAGGUGCAUGGCGUAGUCGUGU